rnacentral:rRNA from 1 species
UACGGGGGGUGCGAGCGUUGUCCGGAAUCACUGGGCGUAAAGGGCGCGUAGGUGGUCUGAUAAGGGUGUGGUGAAAGCCCGGGGCUCAACCCCGGGUCGGCCGUGCCGACUGUUAGACUAGAGUACUGUAGGGGCAGGCGGAAUUCCGGGUGUAGCGGUGGAAUGCGUAGAGAUCCGGAGGAAGACCGGUGGCGAAGGCGGCCUGCUGGGCAGUUACUGACGCUGAGGAGCGAAAGCCAGGGGAGCAAACGGG